UGGGGAAUAUUGGACAAUGGGCGAAAGCCUGAUCCAGCAAUGCCGCGUGUGUGAAGAAGGCCCUAGGGUUGUAAAGCACUUUCAGUAGGGAAGAAAAGCAGAGGGCCAAUACCUCUCUGUCAUGACGUUACCUACAGAAGAAGCACCGGCUAACUCCGUGCCAGCAGCCGCGGUAAUACGGAGGGUGCGAGCGUUAAUCGGAAUUACUGGGCGUAAAGGGCGCGUAGGUGGUUCGAUAAGUCGGGUGUGAAAGCCCCGGGCUUAACCUGGGAAUUGCAUUCGAUACUGUCGAGCUAGAGUGUGGUAGAGGGAAGCGGAAUUCCCGGUGUAGCGGUGAAAUGCGUAGAUAUCGGGAGGAACAUCAGUGGCGAAGGCGGCUUCCUGGACCAACACUGACGCUGAGGCGCGAAAGCGUGGGGAGCAAACAGGAUUAGAUACCCCUGUAGUCC
rnacentral:rRNA from 1 species